UACGAAGGGGGCGAGCGUUGUUCGGAUUUACUGGGCGUAAAGGGCGCGCAGGCGGUUCUGUUUGUCGAGUGUGAAAGCCCCGGGCUCAACCUGGGAACUGCGCUCGAAACGGCGGAACUAGAGUUCGGGAGAGGAGAGUGGAAUUCCCAGUGUAGAGGUGAGAUUCGUAGAUAUUGGGAAGAACACCAAUGGCGAAGGCAGCUCGCUGGGACGGUACUGACGCUGAG
rnacentral:rRNA from 1 species